rnacentral:rRNA from 1 species
GACGAACGCUGGCGGCGUGCUUAACACAUGCAAGUCGAACGGAAAGUCCCUGCUUUUGGGGGGUGCUCGAGUGGCGAACUGGGGAGUUACACGUGAGUAACGUGCCCCUGACUUUGGGAUAAGUUCAUGCAACUUGGGCUAAUACCGGAAAGGAGCUCCCGCCUUAUGGUGGGGGUUGGAAAGUUUCGGCGGUUGGGGAUGGAAUAGCGGGUUAUCAGCUUGUUGGUGGGGUAGUGGAUUACCAAGGCUUUGACGGGUAGCAGGCCUGGGCGGGUGACAGGACCAGCUAGGACUGAGAUACGGCACGGCCUACACGGCGACGGAAGAGUGGGGAAUGUUGUAUAAUGGGCGGAAGCAUGGUGCGGCACAGCAGCGUGGGGGAUGUGGGCCUGCGGGUUGUAAACCGCUUUCGCCUGUCACGAAGCGAGAGUGACGGUAAUGGGUAAAGAAGCUCCGGCUAACUACGUG